rnacentral:rRNA from 1 species
ACGCUCGACACCUACGGGAGGCAGCAGUGGGGAAUAUUGCACAAUGGGGGAAACCCUGAUGCAGCGACGCCGCGUGGAGGAAGAAGGUCUUCGGAUUGUAAACUCCUGUUGUUGGGGAAAAAGAGGAUGGUACCCAACAAGGAAGUGACGGCUAACUACGUGUCAGCAGCCGCGGUAAUCUGAGCGGCUGGCAAGGC